AUUGAACGCUGGCGGCAGGCCUAACACAUGCAAGUCGAGCGGAUGAAGGGAGCUUGCUCCUGGAUUCAGCGGCGGACGGGUGAGUAAUGCCUAGGAAUCUGCCUGGUAGUGGGGGAUAACGUCCGGAAACGGGCGCUAAUACCGCAUACGUCCUGAGGGAGAAAGUGGGGGAUCUUCGGACCUCACGCUAUCAGAUGAGCCUAGGUCGGAUUAGCUAGUUGGUGGGGUAAAGGCCUACCAAGGCGACGAUCCGUAACUGGUCUGAGAGGAUGAUCAGUCACGCGGGAACGGAGACACGGUCCAGACUCCUACGGGAGGCAGCAGUGGGGAAUAUUGGAAAAUGGGCGAAAGCCUGAUCCAGCCAUGCCGCGUGUGUGAAGAAGGUCUUGGGAUUGUAAAGCACUUUAAGUUGGGAGGAAGGGCAGUAAGUUAAUACCUUGCUGUUUUGACGUUACCAACAGAAUAAGCACCGGCUAACUUCG
rnacentral:rRNA from 1 species